CAUAGCUAGGGAUUUUAUCCCUUGAAAUCUUGUUCCAAAAAUUAUCUCUUCUAGUAUUCCAAGCAAGUUGAAGGCUCUAAUCAACAUAGAGGGAUUGUUGGGACAAGAAGACUAUUCAUUCUUGCAAGGCACAAUUCUAGCCAAGUUGAAGAACUAAGUGGAAAAGAUUUUGGGAAGGCCAAGAGUUAAGUGGAAUUGACUAAGGAAGCAGACAAGAUAUGUAGGCAGGCAGACGAGUUUGGUCCUUAGGAACUCCACCAGCAGUACACCGAGAGCGCUCCAGUUGUUUCGGAACUUCAAUUUAUCGGUACUACUUUUGUGUAUAUAUUUGGGCACGACAGAAACCGCCCUCUUUGUGGUCAUAUGUAUCUUGUUUAGAGGCUCGUAGACAGAUAUGUACAGUUAUAUGUUUUGCACCUUUG